rnacentral:rRNA from 1 species
GGCUUAGAGUUUGAUCAUGGCUCAGGACGAACGCUGGCGGCGCGCCUAACACAUGCAAGUCGAACGGAGUUGAGAGGAGCUUGCUUUUCUUGACUUAGUGGCGAACGGGUGAGUAACGCGUGAGGAACCUGCCUCAAAGAGGGGGACAACAGUUGGAAACGACUGCUAAUACCGCAUAAGCCCACGGUCCCGCAUGGGAGAGAGGGAAAAGGAGCAAUCCGCUUUGAGAUGGCCUCGCGUCCGAUUAGCUAGUUGGUGAGGUAACGGCCCACCAAGGCGACGAUCGGUAGCCGGACUGAGAGGUUGAACGGCCACAUUGGGACUGAGACACGGCCCAGACUCCUACGGGAGGCAGCAGUGGGGAAUAUUGCACAAUGGGGGAAACCCUGAUGCAGCGACGCCGCGUGGAGGAAGAAGGUCUUCGGAUUGUAAACUCCUGUUGUUGGGGAAAAAGAGGAUGGUACCCGACAAGGAAGUGACGGCUAACUACGUGCCAGCAGCCGCGGUAAAACGUAGGUCACGAGCGUUGUCCGGAAUUACUGGGUGUAAAGGGAGCGCAGGCGGGUAUGCAAGUUGGGAGUGAAAUACAUGGGCUCAACCCAUGAACUGCUCUCAAAACUGUGUAUCUUGAGUAGUGCAGAGGUAGGCGGAAUUCCCGGUGUAGCGGUGGAAUGCGUAGAUAUCGGGAGGAACACCAGUGGCGAAGGCGGCCUACUGGGCACCAACUGACGCUGAGGCUCGAAAGUGUGGGUAGCAAACAGGAUUAGAUACCCUGGUAGUCCACACCGUAAACGAUGAUUACUAGGUGUUGGA